rnacentral:rRNA from 1 species
GCGUGUAGCAGUGAAAUGCGUAGAUAUGCGGAGGAACACCGAUGGCGAAGGCAGCCCCCUGGGAUAAUACUGACGCUCAUGCACGAAAGCGUGGGGAGCAAACAGGAUUAGAUACCCUGGUAGUCCACGCCCUAAACGAUGUCAACUAGCUGUUGGGGCCUUCGGGCUUUAGUAGCGCAGCUAACGCGUGUAGUUGACCGCCUGGGGAGUACGGUCGCAAGAUUAAAACUCAAAGGAAUUGACGGGGACCCGCACAAGCGGUGGAUGAUGUGGAUUAAUUCGAUGCAACGCGAAAAACCUUACCUACCCUUGACAUGUCUGGAAUCCCGAAGAGAUUUGGGAGUGCUCGCAAGAGAACUGGAACACAGGUGCUGCAUGGCUGUCGUCAGCU